rnacentral:rRNA from 1 species
AAGCCACCUAGAGGAUGACUAGGCUAUAACCGCGAUGAAGGCCGUGGCAAGCUGCGAUAAGCCUGGGGUAGUCGCAAGUCGGACGCUGAACCCAGGAUUGCCGAAUUGCGCCCAAAAGGCGCGCAUACGCCGGGAACUGAAAUAUCUUAGUACCGGCAGGAGAAGAAAGAAUAUUCGAUGCGGCGAGUAAUACGAAUGAAAGCCGCAGAGGGCGAACCGAAUCCUGCCUUGCAAAAGGUGUGGAGAUGUGGUGCAGCGGUAUUCAUCCAUCUCAUGAGCCGAACGCUCUGGAAAGAGCGGCUACAGAGGGUGACAGCCCCGUAGGCGGAAUGAGGUGGAGAUAGCUGCAAAGAGUAACGCUCCCUGAGUACGGAGCGUGAAUACGGGAGCAUUAAAUCCCAACCCUAAAUAUUGGUUAUAGACCGAUAGAGAACAAGUAGCGCGAGCGAAAGUUAAAAAGAACGCACACGAGUGCGAUUGAAAAGAUCUGAAACUAGGUGGUUACAUGCAGGUAAGGCGCGAAAGGAAUGAAGUGCCCUGAAGCUUCCGCUCGAGAGUGCGGUGCGAGGGGCAUGGAGCAGCGUCUUAUCAUUCUUCUUGAAGCAAGAGCCAGGGAGUGUAUAGGAGUGGCGAGCCGAAAGGCGCAGCGAAAGCGAGGGCGCGCAGCACCGCAAGGUGUGAGGCGCAGGGUGUGAAAACGCCUGAGUCACUCUUAUACGACCCGAAGCCAUUGUGAUCUACUCGUGGCCAGGACGAAGCUAGGCUAACGCCUGGUGGAGGUCCGCAUCCUGUCAUGGCAUGUCCUGUUGGGUGAGCUACGGGUAGCGGCGAUAUACCUGUCGAACAUGGCAAUAUCGGGUCCCCUCUGAAGUAUCUUUAGGAUAGCCUCGGGCGAGCUUGCAUAUGCGGUAGAGCAACCGAUUAUUGGGCACGGGAUCGGAAGGUCCUUCCCAAUCGUCAAACUCCGAAUGCAUAUGCUGCGUAGACCCCGGGAGUCGGCGGGAUUGGGUAAGCUAGUUCCGCGAGACUGCAAAGACAGAGACUGGGGCUAAGGUCCCCAAAUCCUAGUUAAGUGUAUCAAAGGAGGUGUUUGCCUUAGACAGCUGGGAGGUAGGCUCAGAAGCGGCCACCCUUUAAAAAACGCGUAAUAGCGUACCAGUUGAGGCAUUCAUUGCCGAAGAUAUACGGGGCUAAACUAGGUACCGAGACCCCAGCGUGCGAAAGCACGGGUAAGAGGGCGUGCGGUAUGGCAAGAAGUGUGUCCGAAAGGACGCAUGAACCGUACCGUUGAGAAAAUCCUGGUAUUAGUAAUAUCAAAUAUGGGUGAGAAUCCCAUACACCUAAAGCACACGGUUUCCUUCGCAUACGCUUUUCAGCGGAGGGUUAGGCGGUCCUAAGCUGCAUGCUAAUAACACUGCAGCAAAAGGGUAGCUGGUUAAUAUUCCAGCCCCUACCAUGUAAGCGUGGCAACACAAGGCAGAUUUCAGACGUCUGGGGAUAGGCCAGAAAGAACGUGCAAACGGCUGCGGAGUCUCGUUAUGAGGAGAAGCAGCUAAAUGAACUUUGGCUGAGUUCCUGGGCCAGUGAAAAUGGAAUCUGCAAUUGAUCAUGGUAGUCCGUACCUAGAACCAGUACAGGUGGUGCUGGCCUAAAAAGCCGAGGUGUGCCGGAAUAAUUGAGGUUAGGGAAAUCGGCAAAAUAGUGACGUAAGUUAUCGAGAAGUCAUGUCUGCGUAUGGGAUAUGCAGAUAUCAUUGACAAGGGGGCAACGACUGUUUAUCAAAAACACAACUCACUGCAAAGCGGAAACGCCUAGAAUAGUGGGUGACGCCUGCUCACCGCCAGUACGUGAACACCCGUUUCAAAGGGGAUAAGCGCUGGCAAAGAGCGGGAGUAACUCUGACUCUCUUGAGGUAGCGUAAUACCUCGUCACUUAAUAGGUGACUUGCAUGAAGGGCGUAACGAUUGCCCCACUGUCCCAACCUUGAAUCCGGUGAACUUACUGCGCGGUGAAUAUGCCGCGAUCUCUCAGUGGGAAAUGAAGUCUCCAUGAAGCUUUACUACAUCCUGUAGUUGUUGUGAUACAGGCCACGCAUAGCGUAAGUGGGAGCGUCGAUGCCAGCGCUGCGGCGCUGGCGGAGCGACAAUGUAACACCACUCUUGGCCUGCCUCGCAGCUAACUAGCGAUAGGACAGCUGCAGGUGGGUAGUUAGACUGGACGGUUGCUUUCGAUAAGGAAACGAAAGUGACCAAUGCUCUGCUUAGCUUGUUUGGGAAACAAGCGGUAAGCUAAAAGGUAAAUGCAGGGCUGACUGUAUGCCGAAAAGCGUGGCAUGCAGACUCGAAAGAGGGGCUUAACGAACGUUGGUAGCUCUUUUAAUGGGGCUCCAAGCUGUCAAACAAGUUACUCUGGAGGUAACCGAUUCGUCGCCGGUGAGAGUUCACAUCGACCUGGCGGUUUGAUACAUCGAUAUGGGCUUAGGUUAUCCUGGUGGUGCAUAAGCCACCAAGGGUUGGGCUGCUCGCCCAUUAAAAACCUACAUGAGCUGAGUUCAGUACGCCGUGAGGCAGUACGGUAAUAUCUACUGGGAGUGUCAGUGCCAGAGGAUAAGGUCCAAUUAGUACGAGAGGAACAUUGGAUCGGCGCCUCUAGUGUACCGGUUGUGAAUGCAUUGCCGGGUAGCCACGCGCCAAAAGGAUAAGCCCUGAAAGCAUCUAAGGGCGAAGCCAUACCCGAAACGAGGCACUAGGGCGGUCGUAAUAGACGACUUUGAUAGGACGGGUGCACAUGCAGAGAGCUUCGGCGAUCUGCGAACAUACCGUUACUAAAGCCUGACUUUGUAAGC